rnacentral:rRNA from 1 species
AUUGAACGCUGGCGGCAUGUUUUACACAUGCAAGUCGAACGGCAGCGCGGGCUUCGGCCUGGCGGCGAGUGGCGAACGGGUGAGUAAUACAUCGGAACGUGCCCAGUAGUGGGGGAUAGCUCGGCGAAAGCCGGAUUAAUACCGCAUACGACCUGAGGGUGAAAGCGGGGGAUCUUCGGACCUCGCGCUAUUGGAGCGGCCGAUGGCAGAUUAGCUAGUUGGUGGGGUAAAGGCCUACCAAGGCGACGAUCUGUAGCUGGUCUGAGAGGACGACCAGCCACACUGGGACUGAGACACGGCCCAGACUCCUACGGGAGGCAGCAGUGGGGAAUUUUGGACAAUGGGCGAAAGCCUGAUCCAGCAAUGCCGCGUGUGUGAUGAAGGCCUUCGGGUUGUAAAGCACUUUUGGCGGGAACGAAAAGGACUGUGCCAAUACCACGGUUCGAUGACGGUACCCGCAGAAUAAGCACCGGCUAACUACGUG